CCCCACGCGAGGUCACGCGCGCUGUCCUCGCCAAUAGGCAGCUGCGGCCGGAGCGGCGUGGGUCUCGCGGGAGCGCGCGGCGGUAUUUAGUGGCCGGCGAGGCGCUGCUCGGUCCUUCUGUCCGCCGGCUGUGGGCGCGUGUGUCCCGAGGAAGCGGCGAGCCCUUCAAUGCCCGCCAUGGGCAGGAGCCCUGGCGCCGCUGGCCCGGGCAGGCCCAGCGCUGGCGGCCUGCGCUCACCGCCUGGGACGCCCAUGGGCGAGGGACACACAGUAGGAGCUCAGCGCUCCUACUGCAGCCUGGGGCUGAGGCCUCACAUAGCAACCUCAUGCUGGAAAUGUUUUAGACAUGGGUAA
rnacentral:lncRNA from 1 species